UACGGAGGGUGCAAGCGUUAUCCGGAUUCACUGGGUUUAAAGGGUGCGUAGGCGGGCAGGUAAGUCCGUGGUGAAAUCCCCCGAGCUUAACUCGGGAACUGCCAUGGAUACUAUUUGUCUUGAAUAUUGUGGAGGUGAGCGGAAUAUGUCAUGUAGCGGUGAAAUGCUUAGAUAUGACAUAGAACACCAAUUGCGAAGGCAGCUCACUACACAGUUAUUGACGCUGAGGCACGAAAGCGUGGGGAUCAAACAGG
rnacentral:rRNA from 1 species